UGUUGUUUUAAAUUAGUUCAUUGCAUUCUUCAUGGUCCAAAAACUCAAAAGGUUCAAAAAAAGGUGGGUAGUCAAGUCUCCUUCCCUCCUAAGGAUUCCCUGCCACUCAAUUUCUUCUCCCAGAGACAACCAGUGUUACCAGGUCUUUUUUAUAUUUCCAGAAAGAGUGUUUAUACAUACAAGCAAUAUGUAUACAUAGAUAUACCCACACUUUUUUCUAAUCAAAUGGCAACAUAAUGUACACACAGAAAAAAGAUAGUAUUUUGAUUUUCCUUUUACAGGAUUGACCAGAUCAAAAGGGGAAAACAUUUUUAAGUGGAAGAGAAAUUCGUCCUCAAGGAAUAAGAAAACUAAUGAGUAUCAAGAAAACAAAUGAAUUAAAAAAUAUACAAUGUGUCUAUUUUUUCCCCCACUUUCACCCAUUUAUCUCUCUCAACCUCUUAGGAAGAAAAGUAAUUUGUAGGGAAAAAAGUACAAAGAGAAAUAUUGUUGGCUCUCCUUCAUGAUGUUUACUAAAAUCCUUGAAUUAUAAAAAAAAGCUUGCAAUCUUUUGCUGUCAAAUAAAAGAAACAAGAUACAUAAAAGAAACAAGAUAAAAGAACACUGAGUUAUGAUUAGUGCUUAAGAUGUUAUACAAGCUUAAGAAUUCAGAAAGUUAUACAUGACUCUGUAUGCAACCUUCAGAAAUAUUAACAAUCUGUACAGACAAACCACCAUCUAAUUUCCUCUUUUGUGCUACCAGAUUGAUGUGGAAACAAGGGAAAGAAUAUUCAGGCUGAAAUGAAGAGAAAGGACAUUAUAAGUGAGUAACAGGAGAAUUAAAACAUGAAACUUUCUGCAUCUCAAGAUAAUAGUAAUGCUCCUUCUCGGCAUCUACUUCCUGGAGAACCUAACUGCAAACAUUGCUCCAUCCUCCUGAUCCUGAGGGAACAUCGGACUCCACUGCAAGAUGUUUGUGUAGUUUGAAAACGUCUCCCAAGAUCCUGUUCCCAUCUCAGUGAUCCUGACAUUUCCCGUGGGGAUUAGUGUAAAGUACCACAGCUUUUUCCUAAAUAGGAGAGGCGUGAAGGAAACACCAGUGGUGUGCUCAAAACAUGAACAACUACCAUGUGGAAAAAAUGAAAAAAAUGAGUACAAAUCAACAGAUGAAGAAACUAAAGAUCAGAGGGUCAGAGAGGUUGCAAGUUACUCUAUAACUCAGUCUCUUCACUAUACCAUACUGCCGCUAAGAGUUGUGAUGCAAUCAAAUUAAUCUGUAAAUUAAAUAUAUUUUAAACAAUGUAGUCAGUUGCUGAUUUCCAUAACAUUCCUGUCAGAUGUCAUGCAACUUUUGUUGGAAUAUUUCCAGUGAUGGGAAGUGUAUUCUCUUUGAAGCAACACAUUUCACUGCCAAAUAGCUUGAUGGCUACAGAAUUCUCCUUUAUUUUAGUAAAAUGUGCUUUAAUGGUUGAUUUACAGCAGUGAAAGUAGAGGAAUUGCCCUCUAUUUCAGUAUGUAUUAGAGUCUUCCCUGGACCCUGGUCGCAAAUCUGCUACUCAUCUUCAAUCUGCAUGAUUAAAAGGAAAAGUGAGGUAGAAGAGUCCACUGCCCUCCAUCCCUCUCUAGAACUGCUACCCUCCUGGAUUUGUGGCACUUACUACCACAAACAUAGCAGUCAAGUAUGACUACCAAAAUAUCAUGUUCGCUUUAAUUCACUGAAGUAUGAGCAGUAAGCACUAUGCUUCUUAGUUAUUCCUUUGUAUACCUUCUUUUAAACAAUGUAGUGCUACACAUGGAAAUCCAAAUAUAUACACCAGAUACAUUAGAAAAGUUCUCAUUUUUUUGUUUGUUUAAACUACUUUUGUUUCUUAAAGACCUAAGAUCCUUUGAAGCUGGGAAGAACCACUUCAGGAUCCCAGGGGGGGAAGCUCCCCCAAAAUACUUAUUUGGUGUUCCUGAAACUCACAACCAAGAAAACAAAAACAAA